GAAGAGCAUGGUCCCGACUCUUAUAUUGGCUAUCUCUUAGAUAGAUACAUGGUAGUUUAGGCGAAGAGAGAGGUGUAUGAUACCCGAAUGAAGAGUCGUUAAAAACGGCUCUUCCCAGCGGGGGGUGUUAUUAAUAGAAAGAAGAGGCCCCAUGGAAAGUCUCUUACACCAGUACCGAAAUUUGGGCAAUGGGGGACACCCCGACCCAGCUAAUGAGAGACAGGGGAGAGCAAGACUGGUGCCAGAACUCUCGGCCAAGCCAGCUCCCCAAGUCAAUACGUAACGGCUAGGUGGUCAGGCAGGAAUUAAAAAAGGUGCUGCGCGCAUUAAUUUAGAGGUGAAAUUCAAAGAGAUUAGUGGCUUGCCCAUACAGCACUUGACUGUUGAAUCCGCGAAACUGUGGGGCUAGACCCGGAUUAGAUACCCGGUUAUUCCACAGCUGAAAUCCGUCAUAUACUGCCUGGGAACUACGAGGAAUACUUUAAAACCCGAGGGACUUGGCGGUGCAUUAAUCCACCCAGGGGAACCUGGCCCUUAAAUCGAUGAUCCGCGAACUUCUUACCUUCUCUUGUAUAGGUUUUCCCUAAGGUAAAACCUAUGUCAGUUUGCAUACCGCCGUUUUCAGCUUGUAUCGUGAGGUAAAAGAAACAGGCUACCCAGUAAGCGAACGUUUGCCUAUACGGAAGACUAUGUCUUCCGGGGGCGAUGGGGCUACUAGGAAUUCAGGUAAAAGUGCAGCCUAUGGGAAGGGGGUAGCUGGGUUACAGUUGGCGUUUGAAUUGGAGCAUAACCCGAAGGGGCUAUGUGAAAGAGUACUUGGAAGUAAUGACUUUAGGCAAUGGAGUCGUGAAUGGUGCUCUAGUGUGUGUACAAAUCGCCCGUCGCUCGCCCCGAAAGGGGUGAUAAGUCGUAACACGGUAGGGGUACCGGAAGGUGUCCCUAAAACAAA
rnacentral:ncRNA from 1 species